rnacentral:rRNA from 1 species
UACAGAGGUCUCAAGCGUUGUUCGGAUUCAUUGGGCGUAAAGGGUGCGUAGGUGGGUCUGUAAGUCAGUGGUGAAAUCUCCGGGCUUAACCCGGAAACUGCCAUUGAUACUAUAGAUCUUGAAUAUCCUGGAGGUGAGCGGAAUAUGUCAUGUAGCGGUGAAAUGCUUAGAUAUGACAUAGAACACCAAUUGCGAAGGCAGCUCACUACGGGAUCAUUGACACUGAGGCACGAAAGCGUGGGGAUCAAACAGG